UUUAUGUGAUUUUGGUUUAUAUGCAAAAAGGUACCACAUCUGUGGCAAAGUGAAGCUGUGUGUCUGCAUUGAUCGAACGGUACCCACUUAAACCCUGUAAAGAUCCAGGUCCUCUCACUAACAUAACUACCAGCAUCACAUGGCUAAAGCAUUGAUCCCCUUUAUAACAGAAGCCCAGUAUGGUCUCAUUCUGGUCAUGAGAGCUCAUACCCAAUGACCCCAGUUCAAAUGCAGGCACAAGCAGUGCCAGGAGGGGAGCACUGGGUCUCAUUGGCUGCUGGAAGAACGAGGUGAGCAUGCUUUCAAGAGUGACUAAGGCAGCUGCAUGAUAUAAGUUUCACCUUAUCAAUCUCUUCAAGGAGAAAACAACUUUGCUUGCCAUUAAAGUCCUUCUGAAAGCUACAAUACUUGUCCUUAGAAACUAGAGGGUGGAAAUGGGUUUUCUGUAAAGUUUGUUCCAGUUUGCCACUAAGAAGCUGAAGAGAAGAAGGUGAAGAAUAGC